GCGGGCGUGGCGGAAUUGGUAGACGCGCCGGCCUUAGGAGCCGGUGGCCGAAAGGCUGUGGGGGUUCGAGUCCCUUCGCCCGCA
rnacentral:tRNA from 3 species